CUACUUACCUGCCAGGUGUGAUACUAUAGUCACAAAUGUGCUUGUCUUAGGGCAAGACUUACCCAUUACACUCUGGAUGUACUGCUCCUGUGAUUUCCCAAAAUGUGGGAAACUUUACUGCAUAAUUUGUGGGAGUGAGGGUCUGCUUUUCUGCUUUAACCUGGU